AUUGAACGCUGGCGGCAGGCCUAACACAUGCAAGUCGAGCGGAGCGGCGGACGGGUGAGUAAUAACUAUGAAUCGGCCUGGCAGUGGGGGAUAACGUUCGGAAACGGACGCUAAUACCGCAUACUAGCAGACGAGUCUAGGCAGGAUUAGCUCGUUGGUGAGGGAAUGGCUCACCAAGGCUACGAUCCGUAACUGGUCUGAGAGGAUGAACAGUCACACUGGAACUGAGACACGGUCCAUACUCCUACGGGAGGCAGCAGUGGGGAAUAUUGGACAAUGGGCGAAAGCCGGAUCCAGCCAUGCCGCGUGUGUGAAGAAGGUCUUCGGAUUGUAAAGCACUUUAAGUUGGGAGGCGUUACCGACAGAAUAAGCACCGGCUAACUCUGUGCCAGCAGCCGCGGUAAUUC
rnacentral:rRNA from 1 species